rnacentral:rRNA from 1 species
UGUGUAGGUGGCGCCGUAAGUCGGGUGUGAAAUCUCGGGGCUUAACUCCGAAACUGCAUUCGAUACUGCGGUGCUUGAGGACUGGAGAGGAGACUGGAAUUCAUGGCGUAGCAGUGAAAUGCGUAGAGAUCAUGAGGAAGACCAGUGGCGAAGGCGGGUCUCUGGACAGUUCCUGACACUGAGACACGAAGGCCAGGGAGCAAACG